ACCGGGGAGCUUCCAGAAAGCACAUCAACAGAUGGAAAGGCAAACCCCUCAGCCAUGAGAUGUUGCCGAAGUUUACUCCAAACAAGGAAGUCGGGAAAAUCGCCACGCCCACUUCCUCCUAGCCACUGCCCCCAGCACUGGCCUGGAGCCCCGAUAGUGUUUCUUCUCCACUGUCCCUGCCAGGAAGAGAGAAGACAGCUCCUCAGCAUCUCACUAAUGCAUUUCAACCAUUCUCAGACUACCAAGCCUGGAAUUGUCUUUCCCCUCAGCCAACCAGGUUUGCCUAGAGACCUCCCUCCUCACCAUUCAGGUAUCUGCUAAUCUCCCGGGUCCUCCAGAAAGCAUUUUCUGCCUGACAUUCCUCAGGGGAGGUAACCACCCCCCUUGAAGCCUCCCCUGGAUCCCAUUCUGUGUCCCCAUAAUAAAAUCAUCACACUGUA